UGUUAAGUUGGACUGAACUGAGCAGGAGAUAGGAUUGAAAAUAGAGAUUAAAGUUAGAUUGUAAAGUCUUGAUUGACAAAUCAAGUUUGAAUUCCAUCUUAAUUAUUGGGAUGGCUGGGAUAAGAUAGAGAGAGCUAGAUGUGUGGAAGAUUUGGGGGCAAAGAAGUACAUUCUGCUUAUCAUGGUUGGUAAGCCUCAUGCAGCCCACGUGCAACUAUGGAGGAUAAAGAGUCAGACAUUUGUGAUGUUGAUGUCAUAAGUGAAACCACUCCGCUCGUGGAAGGUAUGGAGAGCAGAGCUGUCUUCCCAGGUAUAAUGAAAGAUGACAAAAUGAGACUAGGAGGUGAAGUGACUUUCUCAAAGUCACUUGCUACACUGAAAAAGGAUACAUCAAGAAGGGAAGAUGAGAAAGUUGAGUCCCCGUUGUUCAUCCAGGAGAAGCAAGGGGGAGUGCAGAUGGUGACACUCUCAGGGCGAUCAUGCAGAGC